AAAAUACUCCCUCCGUCCGAAAAUACUUGUCAUCAAAAUGGACAAAAAGGGAUGUAUCUAGAACUAAAAUAUAUCUAGAUACAUCCCCUUUUAUUCAUUUUGAUGACAAGUAUUUCUGGACGGAGGAGUACUAC
rnacentral:pre_miRNA from 1 species